rnacentral:rRNA from 1 species
AUUGAACGCUGGCGGAAUGCUUUACACAUGCAAGUCGAACGGCAGCACGGACUUCGGUCUGGUGGCGAGUGGCGAACGGGUGAGUAAUACAUCGGAACGUGCCCAGUCGUGGGGGAUAACGUAGCGAAAGCUACGCUAAUACCGCAUACGAUCUAAGGCUGAACGCGGGGGAUCGCAAGACCUCGCGUGAUUGGGGCGGCCGGUGGCAGAUUAGGUAGUUGGUAGGGUAAAGGCCUACCAAGCCGACGAUCUGUAGCUGGUCUGAGAGGAUGAUCAGCCACACUGGGACUGAGACACGGCCCAGACUCCUACGGGAGGCAGCAGUGGGGAAUUUUGGACAAUGGGCGCAAGCCUGAUCCAGCCAUUCCGCGUGCAGGAUGAAGGCCUUCGGGUUGUAAACUGCUUUUGUACAGAACGAAAGGGCUCUGGUUAAUACCCGGGGCUCAUGACGGUACUGUAAGAAUAAGCACCGGCUAACUACGUGCCAGCCGCCGCCGUAA